rnacentral:lncRNA from 1 species
UCCUUGGUCUCUGACCUGGAAGUCACAUGUCUUCUCUUUUUAAUUUGAACUGAUUUACUUGAAAUCCAGAGAGACAGGCACAGAGAUGUUCCAUCCACUGUUUCGUUCCCCACAUGCCCUCAACAGCCAGAGCAGAAGCAGCCCAAGGCCGGCGCCACGGCUCACUGUCCACUCUGCCUGUCAAAAAAAAAAAAAAAAAAAAGCAGCAGCAGCAGCAGCCUGAGGCGGGAGCCAGGAGUUCAAUCCCCAUCUCCCAGCUGAGUGACAGAGCCAUUACUUGCUGCCUCCCAGGAAAUCCACUUUUAAAAGUUGACAGGAUGUGAACUUGGAAAUGUGUCUGCAUCAUUUAUAGUCCCUCCAACAACCUGUAAGGUAAAUUAUUCCCAUUUUAUAGAUAACAUUGAGGUUCUGUUUUAAUUCAUAUCUAAGAGAAAAUUGAUUAAAUGACAAAGUAUUAGGAUACUCACAGAAAAAUAAGUUUUCUUUUUUUUAUUUGCACAUAGCACACAACAGUCCCUUAUGACAUGACCAACGAGCUGUCCUGUAAUUCAGUUUGGUUCUGACACCAUCUGCCAGGAGCUGGCAUAGCGUCAGGUCCCACAGGCCGAGGGCUCAGUGCCCAGCACCGCCCACUUUGGAUGCUGAUGGCAAAUCCCAUGUUGUGCUUUGUGUUUCUGACCCACCUGGUACAAAUCAGGGCUCCCACCACCUGCUCCUCAGCUGUUAAAAUUGAUUUAUUUAUAUUAUAAUUAUAAUUUAUUUGAAAGGCGGGGGGGAGGGGGGAUCCACAGGUUUACUCUCUAAAUGCCCACAACAGCUGGGCCAGACCAGGCCAAAGCCAGAAGCCAGGAAUCAGUCCAUGUGGGUGACAGGAACUCAAGUACUUGCCCGUCAUCUCCUGCCUCCCAGGGUGCACAUUAGCAGGAAGCUUGAACAGGAAGUAGAGCCAGGACCUGAACCCAGGCACCCCGAUACGGAAUGUGGGCAUCCGCUGUGCCAAAAUGCCUUCUUCGCUUUCCUUGAAUUGACUAAUUAGAGCAGCUCCACAGGACCCAGGAAACACUUUACACAUUGCCAG